rnacentral:rRNA from 1 species
CACGUAGGGUGCAAGCGUUGUCCGGAUUCAUUGGGCGUAAAGGGCUAGUAGGCUGCUUAGCAAGUCGGGUGUGAAAACUUCAGGCUCAACCUGGAGCGGCCAUCCGAUACUGCUAUGGCUAGAGUCCGGUAGGGGACCACGGAAUUCCUGGUGUAGCGGUGAAAUGCGCAGAUAUCAGGAGGAACACCGGUGGCGAAGGCGGUGGUCUGGGCCGGAACUGACGCUGAAUAGCGAAAGCGUGGGUAGCGAACAGG